CAACAACAAUGUCAUAUCCUCCAUUGCUGCUCUGUUCCAGAAGUGGCGAAUAUCAGGGUCCACAUGGAAUACAAUGGAGUACACAAUGGAUUACAAAUUAGCGUGAUACAGGAAUAGCAGAGAUUACGCGAUGUAGAAGAGCUGACGUUACCAUUACAAACAACUACUCCAGGGUUUCCUAUGAAAAGAUACACACAUCCCAGAUAUAAAACAAAGUGAUGAAGACCAUAAAAUUGACCCUUUGCAAAACUUCCA